CUUCACGGAGCCGAGCAGCACCGGCCGCUCGCGGUCCUGGCCGUAGGUGGCGAGCAGGCUCUGCGCCUC
rnacentral:antisense_RNA from 2 species